rnacentral:rRNA from 1 species
CAGCCGCCGCGGUAAUACGAAGGGUGCAAGCGUUAAUCGGAAUUACUGGGCGUAAAGCGUGCGUAGGCGGUUUGUUAAGUCUGCUGUGAAAUCCCCUGGCUCAACCUGGGAAUGGCAGUGGAUACUGGCUCGCUAGAGUGUGUCAGAGGAUGGUGGAAUUCCCGGUGUAGCGGUGAAAUGCGUAGAGAUCGGGAGGAACAUCAGUGGCGAAGGCGGCCAUCUGGGACAACACUGACGCUGAGGCACGAAAGCGUGGGGAGCAAACAGGAUUAGAGACCCCUGUAGUCCCUGUCUCUUAUAA